AUUGAACGCUGGCGGCAGGCCUAACACAUGCAAGUCGAACGAGUGGCGGACGGGUGAGUAAUGUCUGGGAAACUGCCCGAUGGAGGGGGAUAACUACUGGAAACGGUAGCUAAUACCGCGUACCAUAGGAUGUGCCCAGAUGGGAUUAGCUUGUAGGUGAGGUAACGGCUCACCUAGGCGACGAUCCCUAGCUGGUCUGAGAGGAUGAACAGCCAACCUGGAACUGCGACACGGUCAAGACUCCUACGGGGGGCAGCAGGGGGGAAUAUUGAAAAGUGGGCGCAAGCCUGAUGUAGCCAUGCCGCGUGUAUGAAGAAGGCCUUCGGGUGGUAAAGUACUUUCAGCGGGGAGGCGUUACCCGCAGAAGAAGCACCGGCCAACUCCGUGCCAGCAGCCGCGUAAUAC
rnacentral:rRNA from 1 species